rnacentral:rRNA from 1 species
AGUGAACGCUGGCGGUAGGCCUAACACAUGCAAGUCGAACGGCAGCACAGUAAGGGCUUGCUCUUACGGGUGGCGAGUGGCGGACGGGUGAGGAAUACAUCGGAAUCUACUUUUUCGUGGGGGAUAACGUAGGGAAACUUACGCUAAUACCGCAUACGACCUACGGGUGAAAGCAGGGGAUCUUCGGACCUUGCGCGAUUGAAUGAGCCGAUGUCGGAUUAGCUAGUUGGCGGGGUAAAGGCCCACCAAGGCGACGAUCCGUAGCUGGUCUGAGAGGAUGAUCAGCCACAAUGGAACUGAGACACGGUCCAGACUCCUACGGGAGGCAGCAGUGGGGAAUAUUGGACAAUGGGCGCAAGCCUGAUCCAGCCAUACCGCGUGGGUGAAGAAGGCCUUCGGGUUGUAAAGCCCUUUUGUUGGGAAAGAAAAGCAGCAGGUUAAUACCCCGCUGUUCUGACGGUGCCCAAAGAAUAAGCACCGGCUAACUUCGUG